CUUGUUUACAAAAACGACUCCCCACCCUUGCAGAUGCAGAUUAGAGUUUUUCAGCUCACUAGAGAUCCAGAAUCAAAAUCUAAACCAGCUGGUGCUUUUACGCGGGUGUCUUACUUUAGCUUACUCAAAAGAACACAAGAUGAACGGAGAGCGAAAGUCAUGCAAACACCACCAAUAAAGUGAAUAAAGAACAAUAAUAAUGCUUAAUAAUGUGGACCUUCACUUCUGUAAGAAUUUUGGCAAGAGCAUUUUGCUUCCCUGAUGCAUUUCAAAAUAUUUCCAGGAGGAAGAACCAAGAUGCUUGUUGCAGAAUUCAAUUGUUCCAGAAAGAUAUCUUGGGAUAGUAACCUCACGUGGGUCAUUCCUCGGUCAACUGCUCAUCUCCUCUGUUGUUCCAAGCAGCCUUCCCGAGCCACUGCAGGAAGGAC
rnacentral:lncRNA from 1 species